AACGAACGCUGGCGGCAUGCCUAACACAUGCAAGUCGAACGAGCCCUUCGGGGUUAGUGGCGCACGGGUGCGUAACGCGUGGGAAUCUGCCCUUUGCUUCGGAAUAACUGAGAGAAAUUUCAGCUAAUACCGGAUGAUGUCUUCGGACCAAAGAUUUAUCGGCAAGGGAUGAGCCCGCGUAGGAUUAGGUAGUUGGUGGGGUAAUGGCCUACCAAGCCGACGAUCCUUAGCUGGUCUGAGAGGAUGAUCAGCCACACUGGGACUGAGACACGGCCCAGACUCCUACGAGAGGCAGCAGUGGGGAAUAUUGGACAAUGGGCGAAAGCCUGAUCCAGCAAUGCCGCGUGAGUGAUGAAGGCCUUAGGGUUGUAAAGCUCUUUUACCAGGGAUGAUAAUGACAGUACCUGGAGAAUAAGCUCCGGCUAACUCCGUGCCAGCAGCCGCGGUAAUAC
rnacentral:rRNA from 1 species